GUGGAUUAGAUACCCUAGUAGUCCACGCCGUAAACUAUGAUUACUCGUUUUCGGCGAUAUACUGUCGGAGACUAAGCGAAAGUGAUAAGUAAUCCACCUGGGGAGUACGAUCGCAAGGUUGAAACUCAAAGGAAUUGACGGGGGCCCGCACAAGCGGUGGAGCAUGUGGUUUAAUUCGAUGAUACGCGAGGAACCUUACCAGGGCUUGAAAGUUAGUGAAGAAUGUGGAAACAUGUUCGUCAGCAAUGACACGAAACUAGGUGCUGCAUGGCCGUCGCCAACU
rnacentral:rRNA from 1 species